ACAAAUACUAGCCCAAACCACAUAAAACACAACUUACAAAACCCAAUAAAACAAAACAUUUACUCUGGAUAAAAGUAUAGGAGAUAGAAAUUUUAAUUGGCGCUAUAGAGAAAGUACCGUAAGGGAAAGAUGAAAGACGGAUUAAAAGUAAGACAAAGCAAAGAUUACCCCUUGUACCUUUCGCAUAAUGAUUUAACUAGAACAACUUGACAAAGAGAACUUAAGCCAAGUAACCCGAAACCAGACGAGCUACCUAAGAGCAGCCAAAGAGCAAACUCAUCUAUGUGGCAAAAUAGUGAGAAGACUUUUAGGUAGAGGUGAAAAGCCUAUCGAGCCUGGUGAUAGCUGGUUGCCCAGAAAAGAAUUUUAGUUCAACUUUAAGCCUUGCCUAAAAACCCCUCUAAAUCAAAUGCAGACUUAAAAUAUAAUCUAAAAGGGUACAGCCUUUUAGAUACAGGAUACAACCUUAACUAGAGAGUAAGUAACAAACCCACCCCAUAGUUGGCCUAAAAGCAGCCAUCAAUUAAGAAAGCGUUCAAGCUCAACGAUUCACACAUACCCUAAUUUUAAGAAUGUCUACGAACCCCUAAAUUAAAACUGGGCUAUUCUAUUAAUAAAUAGAAGGGACACUGUUAAUAUGAGUAACAAGAAACAAUUUCUCCACGCACAAACUUAUAUCAGAACGGAUAAUCCACUGAUAGUUAACAGCAAGACAAUCCAAUUCUACAGAUAAAGCACACGUCAAGUUUACUGUUAACCCAACACAGGAGUGCCUCAAGGAAAGAUUAAAAGAAGUAAAAGGAACUCGGCAAACACAAACCCCGCCUGUUUACCAAAAACAUCACCUCCAGCAUAACCACUAUUGGAGGCACUGCCUGCCCAGUGACAUCUGUUAAACGGCCGCGGUAUCCUGACCGUGCAAAGGUAGCAUAAUCAUUUGUUCUCUAAAUAAGGACUUGUAUGAAUGGCCACACGAGGGUUUAACUGUCUCUUACUUCCAAUCAGUGAAAUUGACCUUCCCGUGAAGAGGCGGGAAUCCACAAAUAAGACGAGAAGACCCUAUGGAGCUUUAAUUAAUUAAUUCAUAAGCAAAUAAUGGCACUCUAAGGAAACACAAUAUACUGCAUAAUGAGUUAACAAUUUAGGUUGGGGUGACCUCGGAAUAUAAAACAACUUCCGAGUGAUUUAAAUCAAGACCUACAAGUCAAAACAACACAUCACUUAUUGAUCCAAAUAAUUGAUCAACGGAACAAGUUACCCUAGGGAUAACAGCGCAAUCCUAUUUAAGAGUCCAUAUCGACAAUAGGGUUUACGACCUCGAUGUUGGAUCAGGACAUCCCAAUGGUGCAGCCGCUAUUAAUGGUUCGUUUGUUCAACGAUUAAAGUCCUACGUGAUCUGAGUUCAGACCGGAGUAAUCCAGGUCGGUUUCUAUCUAUUAUGAGUUCCUCCCAGUACGAAAGGACAAGAGAAACGAGGCCAACCUGUUAACAGACGCCUUAGACCCAAUAGAUGAAAUAAUCUUAAUCUAGUAGUCACAGCAAAUAUCAGCCCGAGAGCAGGGCUCUUACAC
rnacentral:rRNA from 1 species